rnacentral:lncRNA from 1 species
CCUGUUUUCACGCUUUGGGGUUUAGGACCAAGGCAAAGAGCUUUAGUGUACAGGUCAGGUAGAAAGGCUGUUGAUGGAGGUAGUCAUGAAGAGUGGCCACACAGGAGUAAGGGAUACUGAGUGAGAAAAAAAAAUCGGGGAACUCUGAGAUUGCCUGAAACAGGGGUUUAGAGACCACACCCUGGAGCCAGACUGCCGGACUCCACUGAUUCCCAACUGCAUGAGGAGACAUUGGCUUUAUUUUCCAUGGAGGUGACUUACGAUUCCUACUGCAAACUACUGGAAAAGAAGACGGCUUUACACACCCCUUCCAAGGAGCAACUGCUUGUACCAUCCUGAGACUAGAACCAGGGCCACCACUUCUCACAGGCCAAGUGUCACCUGGAGUCUCUAAGCUGGAGCUUCUCUGUAUGUAGGAGAAACUGCCUGCCAGCUUACCCAACCCGUAGUCACUCUGUCCAAACCAGCCCACAUGAGCAUGCCCGGCAGCAGUUUCUCCCUGGGCCAACCUAAGGCUUGCUGCUACACCCAGAGACUGAUGAGGCAGAGACACCCAACUGGAGAUGCCAAUGAGAGAAGGACAACACAGCAGAGUCAGCCGCCUAAGCCAAUGGGACCUUGGGAGGGGACAUAUAGGCAAGCUUGAUUUCUUCAAUAAAUGAUUUGGCUUUUGCUAUUCCCGG